ACGGGAGGCAGCAGUGAGGAAUAUUGGUCAAUGGUCGGAAGACUGAACCAGCCAAGUAGCGUGAAGGAUGACUGCCCUAUGGGUUGUAAACUUCUUUUAUGCGGGAAUAAAAAGGAUUACGUGUAGUCUGUUGCAUGUACCGCAUGAAUAAGGAUCGGCUAAUUCCGUGCCAGCAGCCGCGGUAAUACGGAAGAUCCGAGCGUUAUCCGGAUUUAUUGGGUUUAAAGGGAGCGUAGGCGGGCCUUUAAGUCAGUGGUCAAAGCGUGUGGCUCAACCAUACCACGCCGUUGAUACUGGAGGCCUUGAGUGCACAUAAGGAUGGUGGAAUUCAUGGUGUAGCGGUGAAAUGCUUAGAUAUGACGAAGAACACCGAUUGCGUAGGCAGCAGACCAGGCCGUAAAUGACGCUCAUGCACGAAAGUGCGGGGAUCGAACAGGAUUAGAUACCCUGGUA
rnacentral:rRNA from 1 species